UGGCUGCUCUCUUGGAACCUGAUUGCCUUGCACUCACCUGCUAUAUUAGUGUUCUAGAGCUGCCUCAACAAAGUACCACAAAAUGAGUGGUUUAAACAACAGAAAUGUAGUGUCCUGUGGUUUUGGAGGCUACAAGUCUGAAAUCAAGAUGUUGGUGUAGUUGUUUCCUUCUGACGGCUGGACACAAAUAAAUCCAUAACACCAGCUAAGCAAUAUUUUCAUGUUUCCUUACACUGUAAUCCUCCACUUUUUUUACUUGGUAGUAUGCUUCUAUACUCCUAUUGUCACCCAAAAUACAAGAAUGCAGGACUUCAAGAAACCAGAGGAAAGUCAGGCUCUAGAUAGAUACCUCGCUGCCUUCCACCAUUUGAGGAUAGAAGAUCUCUGCAACAGAAGAGAGCCCUCACUCAACAAUGCCGGUACUUCCAGCCUCAGAACUAAGGGCAAUCCAACUCAUUAUUCCUGGAAGAGUAGCUAGCUCCCACUAUCACACAAAGAUGAGAGGUCGCAUACCGGGGCUAACAGUAGAAGAUUUUGGAAUGACCUUCACUGAUGAAAAGCUUUCAGUGGCUUCUAUUUACCACCUGGAUAACAUGAAAUCAACUAAGUAAAAUUGAAAAAUCAAGAAAUAGCGGGAUCCCUGGGUGGCGCAGCAG